GCUUUAAGAGAAGCUUGCAGAAAUGGGGAAUUUCAUGCAAAUAUAUUUUAGUCAAGUCUCUGCUAGCCAUCUAACUCAGUAUAAAUUGCAAAAUUCUCAACCAAUCAUGUACAAGAAAAGUUCUAAUAAAAACCAACAGUGUUUUGUGUUAGAAUAAAAAUUACAUCUAUAGCAAUCACAAUUACUUGAAUCAACAUUAUAUCCAUUAUAAAAGCAAAAACUCUAAGGCCUUUUACUGUCCUUCAAUCAUUGUUUUUGUUUAUUAUGCUUCACAUCUAUAUAGCAACCAAAAUUAUUUUGAGUAUAUUACAACAUCAAUAAAAUCUUAAUCACUUAUUUAAUUGCAA